rnacentral:rRNA from 1 species
GUGGGGAAUAUUGGACAAUGGGCGAAAGCCUGAUCCAGCCAUGCCGCGUGUGUGAAGAAGGUCUUCGGAUUGUAAAGCACUUUAAGUUGGGAGGAAGGGCAGUAAGUUAAUACCUUGCUGUUUUGACGUUACCGACAGAAUAAGCACCGGCUAACUUCGUGCCAGCAGCCGCGGUAAUACGAAGGGUGCAAGCGUUAAUCGGAAUUACUGGGCGUAAAGCGCGCGUAGGUGGUUUUGUAAGUUGGAGGUGAAAUCCCCGGGCUCAACCUGGGAACUGACUCCAAAACUGCAUGACUAGAGUACGGUAGAGGGUAGUGGAAUUUCCUGUGUAGCGGUGAAAUGCGUAGAUAUAGGAAGGAACACCAGUGGCGAAGGCGACUACCUGGACUGAUACUGACACUGAGGUGCGAAAGCGUGGGGAGCAAACAGGAUUAGAUACCCUUGUAGUCC